rnacentral:rRNA from 1 species
CGUUCGCCGGAAGACCAAGGGUUCCUGUCCAACGUUAAUCGGGGCAGGGUGAGUCGGCCCCUAAGGCGAGGCUGAAAAGCGUAGUCGAUGGGAAACGGGUUAAUAUUCCCGUACUUGGAUAAAUUGCGAUGUGGGGACGGAGAAGGUUAGGUUAGCAGACUGUUGGAUGUCUGUUUAAGGUGGUAGGUGGAGUGCUUAGGCAAAUCCGGGCACUCUUAACACCGAGAACUGAUGACGAGGUGCUACGGCACUGAAGUAACUGAUACCACGCUUCCAGGAAAAGCCACUAAGCUUCAGAUUUAUCUAAACCGUACUAUAAACCGACACAGGUGGUCAGGUAGAGAAUACUCAGGCGCUUGAGAGAACUCGGGUGAAGGAACUAGGCAAAAUAGCACCGUAACUUCGGGAGAAGGUGCGCCGGCGUAGAUUGUAAGGGCUAGCCCCUGAAGGUUGAACCGGUCGAAGAUACCAGCUGGCUGCAACUGUUUAUUAAAAACACAGCACUCUGCAAACACGAAAGUGGACGUAUAGGGUGUGAUGCCUGCCCGGUGCUGGAAGGUUAAUUGAUGGUGUAAUCGAAAGAGAAGCUCCUGAUCGAAGCCCCAGUAAACGGCGGCCGUAACUAUAACGGUCCUAAGGUAGCGAAAUUCCUUGUCGGGUAAGUUCCGACCUGCACGAAUGGCAUAAUGAUGGCCAGGCUGUCUCCACCCGAGACUCAGUGAAAUUGAAAUCGCCGUGAAGAUGCGGUGUACCCGCGGCUAGACGGAAAGACCCCGUGAACCUUUACUAUAGCUUGACACUGAACAUUGAAUUUUGAUGUGUAGGAUAGGUGGGAGCCUUUGAAGCAGUCACGCCAGUGAUUGUGGAGGCGUCCUUGAAAUACCACCCUUUAACGUUUGAUGUUCUAACGAAGAUUACGAAACGUGGUCUCGGACAGUGUCUGGUGGGUAGUUUGACUGGGGCGGUCUCCUCCCAAAGAGUAACGGAGGAGCACGAAGGUUUGCUAAUCACGGUCGGACAUCGUGAGGUUAGUGCAAUGGUAUAAGCAAGCUUAACUGCGAGACAGACAAGUCGAGCAGGUACGAAAGUAGGUCAUAGUGAUCCGGUGGUUCUGAAUGGAAGGGCCAUCGCUCAACGGAUAAAAGGUACUCCGGGGAUAACAGGCUGAUACCGCCCAAGAGUUCAUAUCGACGGCGGUGUUUGGCAC